CUCAAAGGAAUUGACGGGGGCCCGCACAAGCGGAGGAACAUGUGGUUUAAUUCGACGCAACGCGCAGAACCUUACCAGCCCUUGACAUGUCCAGGACCGGUCGCAGAGACGUGACCUUCUCUUCGGAGCCUGGAGCACAGGUGCUGCAUGGCUGUCGUCAGCUCGUGUCGUGAGAUGUUGGGUUAAGUCCCGCAACGAGCGCAACCCCCGUCCUUAGUUGCUACCAUUUAGUUGAGCACUCUAAGGAGACUGCCGGUGAUAAGCCGCGAGGAAGGUGGGGAUGACGUCAAGUCCUCAUGGCCCUUACGGGCUGGGCUACACACGUGCUACAAUGGCGGUGACAAUGGGAAGCUAAGGGGCGACCCUUCGCAAAUCUCAAAAAGCCGUCUCAGUUCGGAUUGGGCUCUGCAACUCGAGCCCAUGAAGUUGGAAUCGCUAGUAAUCGUGGAUCAGCAUGCCACGGUGAAUACGUUCCCGGGCCUUGUACACACCGCCCGUCACACCAUGGGAGUUGGCUUUACCUGAAGACGGUGCGCUAACCAGCAAUGGAGGCAGCCGGCCACGGUAGGGUCAGCGUGAGGAAGUCGUAACAAGGUAGCCGUAGGGGAACCUCACCUCCUU
rnacentral:rRNA from 1 species